rnacentral:rRNA from 1 species
CAUGCAAGUCGAACGAACUCUGGUAUUGAUUGGUGCUUGCAUCAUGAUUUACAUUUGAGUGAGUGGCGAACUGGUGAGUAACACGUGGGAAACCUGCCCAGAAGCGGGGGAUAACACCUGGAAACAGAUGCUAAUACCGCAUAACAACUUGGACCGCAUGGUCCGAGUUUGAAAGAUGGCUUCGGCUAUCACUUUUGGAUGGUCCCGCGGCGUAUUAGCUAGAUGGUGAGGUAACGGCUCACCAUGGCAAUGAUACGUAGCCGACCUGAGAGGGUAAUCGGCCACAUUGGGACUGAGACACGGCCCAAACUCCUACGGGAGGCAGCAGUAGGGAAUCUUCCACAAUGGACGAAAGUCUGAUGGAGCAACGCCGCGUGAGUGAAGAAGGGUUUCGGCUCGUAAAACUCUGUUGUUAAAGAAGAACAUAUCUGAGAGUAACUGUUCAGGUAUUGACGGUAUUUAACCAGAAAGCCACGGCUAACUACGUGCCAGCAGCCGCGGUAAUACGUAGGUGGCAAGCGUUGUCCGGAUUUAUUGGGCGUAAAGCGAGCGCAGGCGGUUUUUUAAGUCUGAUGUGAAAGCCUUCGGCUCAACCGAAGAAGUGCAUCGGAAACUGGGAAACUUGAGUGCAGAAGAGGACAGUGGAACUCCAUGUGUAGCGGUGAAAUGCGUAGAUAUAU